GGAAAUAAUAAUAAGGAUGGUAGUGCGCGCACAUGUCGUGCAAAACCAACGACAUUGCCGUCGUACCAUUUAGCAUCACUGAAAGUAAAUAUCAAAUUAAUUUGGGCAACAUUCUUCAAGAGUUGUAAACGUUUUUUCGUAUUCCGAUAUCAAAUCGUUUUCAUCUCGUUCCCAAUUUUUUCAAGAACUGUCCCAAACCAUAUGGAAGAGCCCUUUCUAAAAUCAAUUUUCAGUCUUUCUUCCUCUCCAAAUCGUAUGCAUAACAAGGUUCAAUUUCAGAAUUCUAUUUCCAAAUCAAGCAAGGUGUUUCACUUAAUUGAUGUUGUUCGCUUGUUCAAAAAAAUUGAAGUUGUUCGCUAAACAAACCCUAGCUACGCUUUCCCAAAUCGUCAAACUAGGUUCGCCUCUCGGAUAGCUUUGUUGAAUCGCUUGCGGAAAGACUCAAGUGUUGGCAGAAGAUCAAUCAAGAUAUUCAUCCAGGUUCUUGCUUGCACUAAGUCUGUGGCGACUAAAAUUUAUAUGUGCUUGGACCUUCUUGCUGAUAUACCCCAUGGAUCUAAGUCAGCUCGUCAACAACCUCAUGAUGUUUCAAAUCAUGCAAAUGGAACCACUGGGUGGGAGUUGACACUUGUUACUGCUCGAAGUUCAAAUGAGAGUGCUGAAGCAACUAGCAAAUUGAUUGGGUUUGAAGAGGAUUACUUUGGUGUUUCUGAUAAAGUCGGCUGUGAGGGAUUCAAUGACUCAGCUUCCAAGUCCGGUGCAUAUGCAUUUUGAGAUUAUGGAUACCACGCCUUCUUAAGUCGGGUGAGGCGUGACUGACCUAACAAAUUUUUGUUAAGUCAGUUCAAAAUUUGACUUAACAAGUCAAAACUUGUUAUGUAGCCCACUCUUAAGUCAGGCACGGAACCGAUAUAAAUAGCCUUUUUUGCACUAGUGGUAGGUUGGUGUGACUGGAAAUCUGGGACCCAUGUUGGGAGCUUUACAACCAGAUAUUUGCUUACUAAGGUGACAUAUCUUGGUUUCUUCUUUCUUUAAGUAAUCCAUAGGUCUAAGGAGAGUGUGAUGUAUUUAACUAUCAUUAUUCUCUAUGCUAGUAAGUUAUUUUUUCUUCUAUUAUUAGUAAUUUAAUAUCCUGGGACCCUCUUCUGUUAGCACAACUGUCAGUUACCUGUUAUAACAGGUUAAGUCUCACGCAUGUAUAUAAGCCGAGACUCACAUUCAUUGUGAUUAACAAUUCAGAAAUAGAAAAUCAACUACAGUAAUAUCUAGAAUCUAUUGAUUUUGAACCACACUUUAUACAAACAUUCUUUAUAGGUUAAAAUAAGUUAGGAUACCAAAUUCCCAUGUUCAGGUGACAAGUAUAAUUGGGGUUAGCUCCGUUAGAACUAACAUGAAGGCUUAAUGGACUUAUUAGGAGGUCUGUAGGUACAAGUACCAGGCGUGAUAUUGUCACAAAACCUUUGCUUAUAGUUAUGUUUUACCAACUAAAAGAAACAGAUGGGAACUCAUGACAUAUUUGACUCGAAAUUGCUAAUUUACACGAUGCCUAGGCCAAGUAUCUGUAAAUAGUAGAAGUCAGAUUUAGAAAUAUAUUUUUUAACUCUAAAAAGGAAUUUUUAUGCAAAAGUUGUAAGUUUGAAAGAAUUUAGGACACUUUAAGCGGAACUAUAAAAAAACCAAAAAAAGUUUUCUAUUUAUUUUCCAAACCAAUUGGAGAUAGCAAGAAUGGAUAUGAAACGGCGACAAGUGGAUACUGUUUCGAGUAACUUUUGUGAAUAUGAUAAUGAUUGAGUUUCUAAUCUUUUCUCCACAUUUUCAUUUUAUAAUGUCCUAACAAUUUAGGAGUUGUGUUUAUUUGUUCUGUCAUAUGCUUAUUUUAUUUUUGUUGUCUUUAUAAUAUAUAUGCAGUAUUUGAAAAUUAGCGUUAUUUGAAAGUUAGUGUUACAUAGUUUAAUAAGUUGUUUUACUUAUUUGAAAAUUUAUGAAAUAGUUUUGUUGUAUACAAGAGAAUAAAUACUAAGAUAUUGUGGAGAAGUUAAGUGUAACAGUUGCUCAAGUUGGUGAGUUAUUGACAAGUUGCUGCCUAAAUAUUCAGUUUGACACCAAAAUUUUGAAAAAGAAUUUUUCUUUCAAUGUCACAAAAAAAUGAAACCCGUAUUGGGUAAUUUAACUGUUGUUUCGGUGGCUGUUAAAUUCGAUUAGACUAAAUACACUAUAUUUUAAAUGUUGAGUUGAUAUAUUGAUCUAAAAUUUAUUUGUUGCUAUUGGGUUGAUAUUGCCGGUAGGUCCCUUUUCGGAAAAAUUAUUUUUCUUUUCAUUUUCAUGUCUAGCGAAGCGGAGUCGACAUUGUAAGAUGCUUGCAUUUGCCCGCAUGUAUGACAUAGCGGGGUGUGGUACGUUCUAUAAUGUUGGUUCCUACAGAUGCGAGGGCAUAUGAGCGGUAUCGUGGAUGUUUGUGUUUACUGGCUCAAUGUUUUUGCAUCGAACGAUUUACAUAUAAUCCUUAUCAUUUUUGAAUGUUGGCUUUGUGUCUUUGGUUCUUGUCCGUAGUUCUUUGACUUAUAAGAUGCUAUUAGAAGUGACUUGUUUUACAUAAAUCCUAUACGAUUGAUUGAUAUUGUGAUGACUCUUUGAAUUUAUACAACUUUGUCGCUUGAGUUAUUUCGUAGGUCAAAAAAAAUGUGUUGUCCCCUUUUCCUAAACUUUGUGCCUUCUAGUGCUAAGAUUCUAAAAUUGAUGGAUUUGAUGGAUGUUUUGUUUUGGUCCAAUUAUUAUUGGCUAUAUAAGUUUUGAGAUGAUUUAACUUUUGUGCCAAUGACCCUUAAGUCCAAUUGCAACUGGCCAUAUAAAUUUGGAGAUGUUCAAAUGUUGCAUCGAAGACCCUAGUGUCCUAGUGCUAUUCUAAGAUGGUUAUAUGUGGCCUCCAUCACUUAAAUUCAAUUGAUAUAGAAAUAUACAUUAUUUUGACAUGGUUAUGUGUUGCCCCGAUAACGCUUAAGUCCGAUUGUUACCGACUAUAUAUAUUCAGAGAUGGUUAGAUGUUCCUUCGAUGGCCUCUAAGUACGAGAUUUUAUUCGUUGCCUCAAUGACCACUUAAAGUCCAAUAAAAUUUUAGAUGCUUAGAUGUUUUCUUGACAUGUUCAAUAAAUUUUUAUAUGGUUAUAUGUUGGCCCGAUGACCCAAAGGUAAACUGCUAUUGGCUACGAUAAUUAUCUUAAGAUAGUUAAAUGUUGUCUGGAUGACUUUUAUUGGUUGCAUAAACAUAGAUGGUGAAUAUUGUCUCGAUGCAGUUUAAUCCACUUGUCAAGGCAAGUUCACUUCCUUUUUGUUUGUAUUUUUGUUUUAUUUCAAUUUUAAAUUUUAUCAUGUACUAAUCUUUGUUUUUGAACAGGUUACGUUGAGAAUUAGAACUGACGUGAAAGAGAAAAUUGCAUAAUUAACAUUGAUGUCUUAUGCUCGAAAAAGGUACCAAUUUUUCUCGAUAAUUAAAAUGCAAUCAAUCCUCUGCCUAAAAAUUCAGUUUGACACCAAAAUCUUGAAAAAUAAUUUUUCUUUCAAUAUGUCACAAAAAAAAAAAAAGAAGGUAAACUCGUAUUGGGUAAUUUAAAUAUUGUUUCGGUGACUUUUCGUUCGAUUAGACCAAAUACACUCUAUUUUAAAUGUUGAUGUUAUAUAUUGAUCUAAAAUGUAUUUGUUUCUAUUGGGUUCAUAUUGCCGGUAGGUCCUUUUUCGGUAAAAAUGUUUUUCUUUUCAUUUUCAUGCCUAGCGAAGCGGAGUCGACGUUGUAAGAUGCUUCCAUUUGCCCGCAUGUCAUGACAUAGUCGGGUGUGGUACGUUCUACAAUGUUGGUUCCUACAGACGCGAGGGCAUAUGAGCGGUAUUGUGGAUGUUUGUGUUUACUGGCUCAAUGUUUUUGCAUUGAACGAUUUACAUAUAAUCCUUAUCAUUUUUGAAUGUUGGCUUUGUGUCUUUGGUUCUUGUCUGUAGUUCCUCUUUGACUUAUAAGAUGCUAUAGAAGUGACUUGUUUUACAUUAAUCCUAUACGAUCGAUUGAUAUUGUGAUGACUUUUUGAAUUUAUACAACUUUGUCGCUUGAGUUAUUUCGUAGGUCAAAAAAAUGUGUUGUCCCCUUUUCCUAAACUUUGUGCCUUCUAGUGCUAAGAUUCUAAAAUUGAUGGAUUUGAAGGAUGUUUUGGUCCAAUUGUUAUUGGCUAUAUAAGUUUUGAGUUGAUUUAACUUUUGUGUCGAUGACCCUUAAGUCCAAUUGCAACUAACCAUAUAAAUUUGGAGAUGUUCAAAUGUUGCAUCGAUGACCCUAGUGUCCUAGUGCUAUUAUAAGAUGGUUAUAUGUUUCCUCAACUCAAUCACUUUAAUUCAAUUGUUAUUGAAAUAUACAUUAUUUUGAUAUGGUUAUGUGUUGCCCCGAUGACGCUUAAGUCCGAUUGUUACUCACUAUAUAGAUUCAGAGAUGGUUAAAUGUUCCUUUGAUGGCCUCUUAAUUCGAGAUUUUUAUCGGUUGCCUUAAUGACCCUUAAAGUCCAAUAAAAUUUGAGAUGGUCAGAUGUUUUCUUGAUAUGUUCAAUAAAUUUUGAUAUGGUUACAUGUGUUGCCCCGAUGACCCUAAGAUAAACUGCUAUUGGCUAUGAAAAUUAUCUUGAGAUGGUUUAACUAUUGCGUCGAUGACCCCUAAGUCCAAUUGCAACUGACCAUAUAAAUUUGGAGAUGUUCAAAUGUUGCAUCAAUGACCCAAGUGUCCAAGUGCUAUUCUAACAUGGUUAUAUGUUGCCUCAAUCACUUAAAUUCAAUUGUUAUUGAAAUAUACAUUAUUUUGAUAUGGUUAUGUGUUUCCCCGAUGACACUUAACUCCAAUUGUUACUGACUAUAUAGAUUCAGAGAUGGUUAAAUAUUCCUUCGAAGGCCUCUAAGUACGAGAUUUUUAUUUGUUGCCUCAAUGCCCCUUAAAGUCCAAUAAAAUUUGAUAUGGUUAGAUGUUUUCUUGAUAUGUUCAUUAAAUUUUGAUAUGGUUAUAUGUUACCCCGAUGACCCUAAGGUAAACUGCUAUUGGCUAUGAAAAUUAUCUUAAGAUGAUUAAAUGUUGCCUGGAUGACUUUUAUGUCCCAUUGCUAUUGGCUCAAUAAUUUAUGAGAUGGUUAACUGUUGACUUCACAACUAUUAAGUUCAAUUGCUAUUAGUUGCAUAAACAUAGAUGGUGAAAUAUUGUCUCGAUGCAGUUUAAUCCACUUUGUCAAGACAAGUUCACUUUCUUUGUUUUUGAGCAUGUUACAUUGAAAAUUAUAACUGACGCGAAAGAGAAAAUUGCAUAAUUAACAUUGUUGUAUGCUGGAAACAAGGUACCAAUUUUUCUAGAUAAUUAAAAUGCUUUCAAUCCUCUGCCUAAAAAUUCAGUUUGACACCAAAAUCUUGAAAAAUAUUUUUUCUUUCGUUAUGUCACAAAAAAAUGAAUCCCGUAUUGGGUAAUUAAAAUGUUGUUUCGGUGGCUGUUAAAUUUGAUUAGACUAAAUACACUAUAUUUUAAAUGUUGAGGUUAUAUUGAUCGAAAAUUUAUUUGUUGGUAUUGGGUUGAUAUUGCCGAUAGGUCCCUUCUGUGUGGCUUGUCAGCAUUAGUUUGAGCGCUUGCUUUAGUUUCAAUUGUCUGAUCUUCAAUCAUCUGGUAACACUAAUUAUAUUUUUUUUUUUUGAAGAAGUCAAAAUGAUAUAUAUUAACACAAACAACCUCUCAUGCACAAGACGUACCGAGGUAGACUAAAUAAUUACAAGAGAGUCAGAGAGAUACAAUCAAAAUAAAAUCAUACAAGGCUCAAACACAACAAUGGACUAGACCACCAGCUAUGAAAAAAAAAAAGAAAAAUUAUACAGGGUCAAACCUUACCCAGAAUGAAAGCAAAGAAAUGAAAAUAACAAACAAAAAGAACAAAAAUAAAACAGAAAACAAAUCUAUGAUUAGAGAAACUAACCCUAGUUUUUGGUGAAGAGAUGAGCUAUGAAGCACUGACAUCUCUAUGUUUAAGCGUGUUGCGGUGUUCGACACAUGUUGGAUAACUCAUAUUGGUGUCGGAAAAAAUUCAAAUUUUCCUUUAGUUUGACACUCCUUUGAUCGGUGUUCGACAUCUGUAGGUUGUAAGACACUCAUAUAACACGUAUCAGACAUAUCUACAAGAGUUAAAGAUGUGUAGAAACAACAAUAUUGAUCAAUGAAGGAUUGAAGACAUUACAUUUAGA